AUCCUAGUGCAUGGGUUUUACACGUAUCAGUGAGGAGAUAUCCGAGAUCGUGUUUUGCUAAUUUAAAACUACUAAUUGAGUACUUUAAGCGGGCCUUCGGGCCUGUUUAGGAAUUUUUGAAACACUCCUAUCUUGAAGU
rfam:Penicillium griseofulvum strain PG3 contig_77, whole genome shotgun sequence.